rnacentral:rRNA from 1 species
GACGAACGCUGGCGGCGUGCCUAAUACAUGCAAGUUGAGCGCUGAAGGUUGGUACUUGUACCGACUGGAUGAGCAGCGAACGGGUGAGUAACGCGUGGGGAAUCUGCCUUUGAGCGGGGGACAACAUUUGGAAACGAAUGCUAAUACCGCAUAAAAACUUUAAACACAAGUUUUAAGUUUGAAAGAUGCAAUUGCAUCACUCAAAGAUGAUCCCGCGUUGUAUUAGCUAGUUGGUGAGGUAAAGGCUCACCAAGGCGAUGAUACAUAGCCGACCUGAGAGGGUGAUCGGCCACAUUGGGACUGAGACACGGCCCAAACUCCUACGGGAGGCAGCAGUAGGGAAUCUUCGGCAAUUGACGAAAGUCUGACCGAGCAACGCCGCGUGAGUGAAGAAGGGUUUCGGAUCGUAAAAUUCUGUUGGUAGAGAAGAACGUCGGUGAGAGUGGAAAGCUCAUCAAGUGACGGUAACUACCCAGAAAGGGACGGCUAACUACGUG